UUAAGUUACUAAGGGCGCACGGGGGAUGCCUUGGCGUUCAGAGGCGAUGAAGGACGUGGUAAAGCUGCGAAAAGCUUCGGGAAGUUGCUAACAAGCUGUGAUCCGGAGAUAUCCGAAUGGGGAAACCCGGCCCUUUUAGGGUCAUUCCGAAAGGAAGGCAAACCAGGAGAACUGAAACAUCUAAGUACCCUGAGGAAGAGAAAUCAAUUGAGAUUCCCUUAGUAGCGGUGAGCGAAGGGGGAAUAGCCCAAACCGUAUGAAUUUAUUCAUGCGGGGUUGUAGGGCAUGCAACAAAGUCUAUUUGAACUGAUAGUUGAAGAGAGCUGGGAAGCUCCGCCAUAGAAGGUGAUAGCCCUGUAAACGAAAUUGGUAAUUAGGACGAGCAUGUUCCUGAGUACGGCGGGACACGUGGAACCCUGCUGGAACCUGGGUGGACCAUCAUCCAAGGCUAAAUACUACUGAACGACCGAUAGUGAACAAGUACCGUGAGGGAAAGGUGAAAAGAACCCCGAGAGGGGAAUGAAAUAGAUCCUGAAACCGUGUGUCUACAAGCAGUCGAAGCACCAUGUUUUCUUCGGGAAACGGUGCGACGGCGUACCUCUUGCAUCAUGGGUCAGUGAGUUGCUCCUCAGUGGCAAGGUUAAGCCGAUAGGUGUAGCCGAAGCGAAAGCGAGUCCUAACUGGGCGAAUAGUCAUUGGGGGCAGACCCGAAGCCAGGUGAUCUAUCCAUGGCCAGGUUGAAGCUCGGGUAACACCGAGUGGAGGACCGAACCGGGUAACGUUGAAAAGUUAUCGGAUGAGCUGUGGAUCGGAGUGAAAGGCUAAUCAAACCUGGAGAUAGCUGGUUCUCCCCGAAAUAUAUUUAGGUAUAGCGUCGUGUAUGUGCAUUGGGGGUAGAGCACUGAUUGGGCUAGGGGGCCUACCAGCCUACCAACCCCAGCUAGCCUCCGAAUACCAAUGUAAUCGAGCACGGCAGUCAGCCUGCGAAUGACAAGGUCCGUAGACAAAAGGGAAAGAACCCAGACCACCAGCUAAGGUCCCUAAUUAAUGCUAAGUGUGAAAGGAUGUAGAAACGCUAAGACAGCCAGGAGGUUGGCCUAGGAGCAGCCACCCUUCAAAAAAAGCGUAACAGCUUACUGGUCGAGCGGGUCUGCGCCGAAAAUGUAACGGGGCUAAGCAUUAUACCGAAGCUGUGGAUACAGUUUGACUGUAUGGUAGGGGAGCGUUGUUAGCGGGACGAAGCAUGAUCGUGAGAACGUGUGGACUGCUAACAAGUGAUUAUGCUGACAUGAGUAACGAUAAACAGGGUGAAAAGCCCUGUCGCCGAAAGUCCAAGGUUUCCUGAGCCAGGGUAAUCCGCUCAGGGUUAGUCGGACCCUAAGCUAAGGCCGAAAGGCGUAGGUGAUGGAAAACGGGUUAAUAUUCCCGUACCGUAUAUAUCGCGCGAUGAGGGGACGGAGAAGGGUAGAUUUACCGGGUAAUGGUUGUCCCGGAUCAAGCAAGUAGGCAGGAGAAGUAGGCAAAUCCGCUUCUCUUUAUGCCAAGAUGUGAUGACCAUCAGCGGCCUUCGGGCCAAUGAGAAGUAAUUGAUCCCAUGCUUCCAAGAAAAGCCUCUAAGUUUAGUUAUAUACGUCCGUACCCCAAACCGACACAGGUGGACGAGUAGAGAAUACUAAGGCGUUUGAGAUAACCGUGGUUAAGGAAUUAGGCAAAUUGCAGCCGUAACUUCGGGAGAAGGCUGGCCCUUGUUAGGUGAUGGACUUCGCGUCCUAAGCUGAAGGGGGUUGCAGAUACCAGGGGGUAGCGACUGUUUACUAAAAACACAGGACUCUGCUAACUCGUAAGAGGAUGUAUAGGGUCUGACGCCUGCCCGGUGCCGGAAGGUUAAGGGGAUUUGUCAUCGCUUCGGCGAGAAGCUCUGAACCGAAGCCCCGGUGAACGGCGGCCGUAACUAUAACGGUCCUAAGGUAGCGAAAUUCCUUGUCGGGUAAGUUCCGACCUGCACGAAU
rnacentral:rRNA from 1 species